ensembl:lncRNA
CUCGAAUUAGAGCCUCAAUGCUUCUUUUCUCACCAGUAAUCCUCUUGCAUGAAACUUAAAUUUCUUGCAUGAUUUUUUUUUUAAAAAAAAAACAUUUUAUUCUUCUGGAAUUGCACAAUUUUGAUAUAUUACUACUUCACUGUAUCUCCCCCUUUUAGAGCUAGAUUUCAAAUUUCUGAAAUUGCAUCUCCCCCCCCCUUUUUUUUUUUUUAAAAGAAGAAUAUGUGAUAGCUCAGAUAGUGGAUGAUUAUAGCAGAAACAAACAAAAGUGCAUCACAUAUGAUGGGGUGAAUGUAUUUUUAGUUUUCCUUAUAAACAGAAUGGAAUGAAACAUUAUAAGAAGACAAUUCCCCCCACUUCCUUCCCCUUCAUGAGAUGAGGUCCCAAAUGAUAGUGAAUGUUACUAUGGCCAUUUGAAAAUAAAACUGUAUUUUUUAGAAUCAUGAAUUCUAACUAUGGCUAAUUUCUAAUAAUUCAAAAUGUAAUUAUUUUUCUGUGUCAUGUCCCUAAUGAAUCAAAACAAUGGGGCAUUAUCUUAUGAAUCAUCCCAAUAAUCAUUAUCUUGUUUCUAAGUCAUUUGCUGUGGCCAAUUUGGCAACUGUAUAUCUUCCUUGUCUUAAGUAUGACCACUCCUCUCUCAUACACAUGAGGCUGCUUCUAGGACAGCUCAAUAAAACGUUAGUCAGUUUUGCAACUGUUUCACAUUGUCAAUUCAUAUUUACUUGAUCAUCCAUUACAUCUCUUAGACCUUCCCUCAGGUACAUUGCCUAGUGACUAUUCCUCCAUCCUCCAUUUCAUCGUUUGAUUAUUCUUACCAAUUUAAGUUUGCCUUUAGUGAACUUUUGAUUGAUUUUUUCCACAGGCAUUUACUUUCAUUUUCCCAAGACAGCCCUUAAUCCUGUCAUUCCACAGCCUAGUUUUUACAGAGUUUAUUUUGUUAUUUAAAAUUUCUAUGCCUGAUCCUUCCUUAGUACAAGGUGCCUUGAAAUGUAAUAAUAUCCAAUAAAAUAAUGGUGAUUAAGAAAGACAAAGAGGUGUAAAAAUAAUCCUAAUAGAAACCAGAAGGAUUGAUAUCAAUUUUUCAUCCUGUGAUAAUAGCAUCCUUUCUUCACUCCUAUUUUCUUUAGAAUUUUAUCACCAUUUUGUCCUAAUCAUCUAUAAUUUUCAAUAUUAUUUCAGUAUUAUAAAUGGCUUUCAGUACAACCCUUUUUAUUGUGUCAUACCAUUCAUGUUUUACAUUUUAAUUAUCUCACUAGAGACUUAUUUUUGACUUUCCCCUACUUAUUCAAAAUAGUACUGGGAUGUCAGAGGUCUAAUAUGCUGGCCCCAAUGAAUAUAUCCAUUCACACAUACUCCAACUUUCAUACAAGAUGUUUCAGUAUAACAUUCACUCCUUGUCCUGUGAGAUAUCUAAGGAUGAGAAACAGUGAGUAGUCGAAAGUCAUAUACUAAGCUUCAUAGCUGAGUUCAGAACUGAACUUUGUUUUCUUCACUUUUAAUCUAUUGAUAAACUCUAAGUGACUAUUUGCAUGUAGAUUAGCCGCAUGUGUAUGCCCACUAAUUAUAGUUUGUAUUAUCCAUUCUAGUAUAACUACUCAAAUGUUUGAUGUGUGAGAAGUGUUGGAUUCUGGAUUCCUUGACUUCCAAUAAAAGAUUGGCAAUGCCAGUGGUGAUUCUGGUUACAUAAUGGUAUGAUUCUUCUAUGCACCUUU